UACGUAGGGUGCAAGCGUUAAUCGGAAUUACUGGGCGUAAAGCGUGCGCAGGCGGUGAUGUAAGACCGACGUGAAAUCCCCAGGCUCAACCUGGGAACUGCGUCCGAUACUGGAUGGCUUGAAUCCGGAGAGGGAUGGCAGAAUUCCUACGGUGAGUAGCGGUGAAAUGCGUAGAUAUCAGGAGGAAUACCGGUGGCGAAGGCGGGUCUCUGGGCAACAACUGACGCUGGAGGAGCGAAAGCGUGGGGAGCGAACAGG
rnacentral:rRNA from 1 species